rnacentral:rRNA from 1 species
AGCAGCCGCGGUAAUUCCAGCUCCAAUAGCGUAUAUUAAAGUUGCUGCAGUUAAAAAGCUCGUAGUUGAAUUUCGGGGUCAAUAUGUUGGUCGUGCCUUGGUACGUACUAGCUUAUUGAUUUCUCCUUUCUGACGAACCAUGAUGUCAUUAAUUUGGUGUCAUGGGGAAUCAGGACUGUUACUUUGAAAAAUUAGAGUGUUUAAAGCAGGCUCGCGCUUGAAUACAUUAGCAUGGAAUAAUGAAAUAGGACAUUUGAUUCUAUUUUGUUGGUUUCUAGGAUCGAUGUAAUGAUUAAUAGGGAUAGUUGGGGGCAUUAGUAUUCAAUUGUCAGAGGUGAAAUUCUUGGAUUUAUUGAAGACUAACUACUGCGAAAGCAUUUGCCAAGGAUGUUUUCAUUAAUCAAAACGAAGUUAGGGGAUCGAAGACGAUCAGAUACCGUCGUAGUCUUAACCAUAAACUAUGCCGACUAGGGAUCGGAUGAUGUUAAUUUUUAUGA